rnacentral:misc_RNA from 1 species
GAUGAAGAACUAGCGAAAUGCGAUACGUAGUGUGAAUUGCAGAAUUCAGUGAAUCAUCGAAUCUUUGAACGCACAUUGCACCUCUCGGUAUUCCGGGAGGUAUGCCUGUUCGAGCGUCAUUUGUACCCUCAAGCUCUGCUUGGUGUUGGGUGUUUGUUCCGCCUCUGUGUGUGAACUCGCCUCAAAACAAUUGGCAGCCGGCGUACUUGUUUCGGAGCGCAGCACAUUUUGCGAUCCAGAUCAACGUACAGCGGCAUCCAAGAAGCCUUAUUUAACGCUCUUGACCUCGGAUCAGGUAGGGAUACCCGCUGAACUUAAGCAUAUCAAUAAGCGGAGGA